CAGGAGAGCUUCAGCCUGGAUGCCCUCCACCAUGGCCUGGCACUCCCUCCUCUUCAGCUUCCUUGCCUACUGCACAAGCUCUGUGGCCUCCUAUGUGCUGACGCAGCCAUCCUCAGUGUCAAUGACUCUGGAACAGACAGCCAGGAUGACCUGUUUGGGCAACAACAUUGGAAAUAAAGAUGUGCAGUGGUACCAGCAGAAGCCAGGUCAGGCCCCCAUCCUGGUCAUCUAUUAUGAUAACGGCAGGCCCUCCGGGAUUCCUGACCGGUUCUCUGGUGCCAACUCUGGAAACACGGCCACUCUGACCAUCACUGGUGCCCAGGCUGAGGACGACGCUGACUAUUACUGUCAGGUGUUGGAUGAUAGUAGUAAAGUUCACAAUGACACAGGCAAAUGGGGAAGCAAGAUAAAAACUCGCCACCAGCCUGGUGCCCACGGCCCCUCCCUGCCCUAG